UGCCGGCGGCCUCCUCAUCUUCGCCAUUCGCCGACCCGCAGAACCACCGGCCGGCGAUCCCCUCCACCUCCUCCGCCUCCGCCGUAUUCCUACCGUUCCCCCAGUUCGCGUUUCUCCUCAACCUAUUGCCGGGCGGAGUGGGCAGGGAACCAGCUCCAGAUCGUACAGAGGAGACCGUUGGUGGCCGGCGAGCUUUUUGGCGCCGCCGGGGCGGACGGGGAUAGGCGCCGGCAUGAAAUCGCGAAAGUGCGAACUGUGCUGUGCCGCGAAUGUCAAGUAUUCCCAUGGGGACGGACGGGGAGGGAGCUAUAUGAAACAACAGAGCAGUUUACAGCUCUGGCUGGAGGAAGCAAAGUGUCAAUGCAAUGUAUAAUGCAGAGAUUUGAAACCACAACAAUAACAUGUUGGAACAAGUUCUUGUCAAAUAGGAAAACCGUAAAAGAAGAAGGCGUCCACUUCCUCUGUUUCAUAGUAGCUGCUUUGAAUUGAAAGUGAUUUGCUUUGCAAUGCAAGGGGAAGCUGAGCAGAGGAUAAGAACAGUGUUCUUUUUAUCCCUUCUAUAAAAUGAAUGUUUGCAAACUUGGGAUAUUCUGCAAUUCUGAUACGCUAUGGGUGAGAUUAAGAUGGUCAGUUCAAACAGAACUACUGUACAAUGUUACCACUCACCAAACCUGGGCUCUGGGGUCUUCCCCUCCCCAAGAGAAGGAUUUGUAGGUUUUUGAAUAAGACAAAUAACCCACAGGACAGUCUCGUUUCAUCUGCGGCCUGAUACAUCUGAAGCCAGAGGUGGAGCUGAGGAGCAUGCAUCUCCUGCCACGCCAAAGUUCACUGCAGUCAUUGCAACAAACUUAUAAUCUAUGUUGCUUUCCGUGUUUAUGGUGCCUUCCAAGACUUUGACAACCUCUGGCAUUUCCGGCCUCUUUUUGCAAUCAAUCUGCAAACACCACAUUGCCAUCCUCAUCAUCCGAAUCACCUCUUGCUUGUUUACUUGCAUGUCGUCACUCUGCUUGUUGACUAGAUCUGCUAAUUGAUCCUAGCAAUCACUCACUCAUGUAAGGAUUCGGGAACCCAGCAAUGAGAUGACAGCGAACACCUUACUAUGGUGAGGAUGGCUAGUCGACUACACCAUGUCAAGGAUGAAGACAAUCCACAUGAGCGACAAUAUAUGGGCAACCACGGGAUGGAAUAGGUGGGCUGGGCAACAUUGUUUGACUGUGUGUGUACAGAUGUUGUAUAACAAAGAAGGUUUGCACUAUCACUAAUAUAUGCAAGAGUGAAAUAUACUGAAGAUUCCACGAAAUCUUAGCCCUCCCUAUGCAGCUCGAUUUCACGCAGCAACAUUCCAGGCAAUUAAUCACAUUCACAAUACAGAUCUGUCAUCAUUGAGCUUCUGGAUGUUAACAUGCUGAAAUUUGCCCACACAACAUACAAGAUUAUAUGGAGACAAAUGUUGGUAGCUGGGAUUCCUUUGCUUCAAGCCUCUGUACCUCGUCCUGUAAAUAUAAUAACCUGCGACACUCGAACUUUCAUGAUUGUUCUUUUAUUCCUUGUUUUUGGUUCAGAUAAGAGAUACUUACCAGCACUGCAGCUUCAGGACUUCAUUGAGCAGUUCCUUCUCCUUUUCUUGUGCUGCUUUCAAGUGAAAAUGUAGUGAGCGGGUUAUAACUCUUCGUGAGAUAUUACCAUCAUAAUUAAUAAAGAAAAUGGGUGACUGAAUAAAAUCUGCAAGAGCUUUGUUUCCAUCUUCACCAUAUUGGUGUCCUAAUAAUUUAAAUAACUAUCUUCUAUGUUUGGGUUGCUAAGAUCUUGUGGAAUCUUCUCGGAUAUUACUUCAAGAUUCAGAAUGGAAGAGUUCCUGUCAUUUUAACCAGAACAAGCUCACCAUGGAUCUUUCUACAGAUGACGAAGAUGUUGGGCUGACUGAACGAAGGCACGCAGACAGGUGAAACCCAAUGAGAACCAUUUAACUCCAUCAACAGAGCAAGCAUUUCAUUCUUGAGUUUCCUUUGUGGAAUCACUUUUUCUUCUUUGAUUGUGUGUGGAAUGGACGGGGGCUUUACUCUCUGAAGCAUAUUUGCCUGCACAACAUUGCCACCAAUACCCAUCCAUCGAUCUCACAUCUUUUUUUUUUUUUGAGAAACAUCGAUCUCACAUCUAACGGGUAGAUUUCUAACUAUGCAUCAGUGUGGAGCCUGUAGUAAUAGUAAGAUAAGAUUCAGCCGGUCAACUCUUAGUUGUUUGGACCACAAUUAAUUAAGGUGGGUUUCUAAAAGCACCAAAUCACAUGCUUGUUAGCUUGCUCCAUCAGCCACCAUAAUGUCUUGGCUUGCAAGAACCUGUUUAUUAAGAUGGGUACGUUGUUCAACCAUUCAGAGAAUCACAUGCUUUGCCUACUCGAUCCAAUCAACCACCACAGUUUUUGAGACGAUGACCAUGACUCAUUCACAUUUGUGUUAUAUAUUCACUACACUUGAGCCUUAGUUAAUGUACAAGUUGCUGAAAGCAUGUGCAGUUUGGACUUUACACAUAACAUACGUGUUGAUAUGCCCAAUAUCCAAAGUCCCCUGGGAGGCCGCCUUGUCUCACAGCAAGUUCUGGCCGUGCCCCUGAACUGCCCACACACCAAAGGCCGCCGGUGAUCCCCUUCUCUGCAGUCUGCACAAGCUGCCGCUCAACGGAACAGAUGAGCGGAGCGGCACACUGAGGUGGAGAAGGCAUCACGCUCCAGCGCUCA